GUCUCAGGCCGUAUCAGCCUGAAGGCGCCCGAUCUCGUCUGAUCUCGGAAGCUAAGCAGGGUCGGGCCUGGUUAGGAUCUUGGAUGGGAGACCACCUGGGAAUCCCGGGUGCUCGAGGUC
ensembl:rRNA 5S_rRNA 5S ribosomal RNA